GAUGAACGCUGGCGGCGUGCCUAAUACAUGCAAGUCGAGCGAACAGACGAGGAGCUUGCUCCUCUGACGUUAGCGGCGGACGGGGGAGUAACACGUGGAUAACCUACCUAUAAGACUGGGAUAACUUCGGGAAACCGGAGCUAAUACCGGAUAAUAUAUUGAACCGCAUGGUUCAAUAGUGAAAGACGGUUUUGCUGUCACUGAUAGAUGGAUCCGCGCCGCCUUAGCUAGUUGGUAAGGUAACGGCUUACCAAGGCAACGAUGCGUAGCCGACCUGAGAGGGUGAUCGGCCACACUGGAACUGAGACACGGUCCAGACUCCUACGGGAGGCAGCAGUAGGGAAUCUUACGCAAUGGGCGAAAGCCUGACGGAGCAACGCCGCGUGAGUGAUGAAGGUCUUCGGAUCGUAAAACUCUGUUAUUAGGGAAGAACAAAUGUGUAAGUAACUAUGCACGUCUUGACGGUACCUAAUCAGAAAGCCACGGCUAACUACGUG
rnacentral:rRNA from 1 species